AGGAACAUUCAGCUGUGACGAAGGAGCUGAUUGGACUGUCAAUGGUGAAAUCAUGGGAUCAUCCAUAGAGGAAUGUACAUCAGAGAAACUCUAGAAAGAGAAAGAGAAAGAGAGGAGUGAGGUUGAAGAAGACGGGUGGGAUUGGGUUUGGGUGCUGGCGGGUAUAGGGUAGAAAUAUUUGAGACCGUUCGGUAUCAGGCUAUUGAUUUUCCCGGGAAAUAAUUGUUAACAGACAGAGGCACGG
rnacentral:misc_RNA from 1 species